rnacentral:misc_RNA from 1 species
GAUGAAGAACGCAGCGAAAUGCGAUACUUGGUGUGAAUUGCAGAAUCCCGUGAACCAUCGAGUCUUUGAACGCAAGUUGCGCCCGAAGCCAUUAGGCCGAGGGCACGCCUGCCUGGGCGUCACACGUCGUUGCCCCCCCCAUCUACUCCUUCGGGAUUGCGGGGGGCGGAUGAUGGCCUCCCGUGCGCCUCGCCGCGCGGUUGUCAUAAAUGCCAAGUCCUCGGCGACGCACGCCACGACAAUCGGUGGUUGCGAAACCUCGGUUGCCCGUCGUGUGCGGUCGUCGCGCAUCGAGGGCUCGAAAAAAUUGCCGAGUUCCGGCUCGGCUUUCAACGCGACCCCAGGUCAGGCGGGGUUACCCGCUGAAUUUAAGCAUAUCAAUAAGCGGAGGA